rnacentral:lncRNA from 1 species
CCUCAGCAACCUCCAGGGCGUCACCGUCAAGAUCCUCUUCUUCUGGGUCAACAUCAUCGAGGUCACCCGCAAGGGCGACCAGCUCGGCUUCUCCGUCGGCAUCGCCUCCGCCGACUUCGGCCUCGACAACUUCCUCGAGAGCCCCACCUGCGGCUGCGGCUUCGACUGCAACGACCUGCGGCUGCCGCAGUCCACCGCCGACUCGAGCCUGCGCCUGCGAGGUGCGUUCUAGGAUCCCACCCAGUUCUCUCACAAGCCACAAGUCCCCCCUUCAAAAUCCAUCCGGUUCUUGGAUGGAUAUUCAUGCUCUUGUUGCUGGA